ACCUGGCUGGCUCAUUUGGUAGAGCAUGUGACUCUUGAACUCAAGGUUGUGGGUUCAAGCCCCAUGUUGGGGC
rnacentral:tRNA from 1 species